CAGAAUUAAUGACAGCUGGAAUACUAGAAGAUAUUAAGAAAUAAGUGAAAAGUGGAGUGCCAAAACCAAUUAUGUACAGUGAUUCAAUAAUUGAAUCCCAAACCCAACAGAGUUACAACGGGAACCAAGGCCCCUGCUUCUAGAACGCAGCAGUUGCUAAACAGACUUGUGGCCAUGAUGGCCGUAUGCUGUACGUAGGAGGAGACCGCAUGUAUAGGACAUUUAAAAGAUAUACUUGUGGAAUGCUUAGGC